rnacentral:lncRNA from 1 species
GCCCACCAUGGCCGCCCAGGGCGAGCCCGGCUACCUGGCGGCGCAGUCGGACCCGGGCUCCAACAGCGAGCGCAGCACCGACUCGCCCAUGCCCGGCUCCGAAGAAGAUUUGGGCGCCGGAGCGCCCCUGCACAGCCCCGAGUGGAGCGAGGAGCGCUUCCGCGUGGACAGAAAGAAACUUGAAGCCAUGUUACAAGCUGCAGCUGAAGGAAAAGGCAGAAGUGGGGAAGACUUUUUUCAAAAGGUAAGUUGUGUUUUACUAUUGCCUUGGGUGAGAGUAAGUUGGAAAAUAUCCCAAUUUCAACAGCUACACCAAAGGUCUCUGAGAGUUCCUUAUGCAUAUAAAGAAUAGGUUUUGAUGAUUUAACUGGAAAUAGUCAAGCAAGGAAAGAAAGGGAUGUUACAUGGUACUGUACAUUUUAAGAAGGUUCCUUCCAGGGCAGAUCUAAUGAAGGUUUUGUUUGAAAACGAGGCAGAGAGGCUUUUAGAUUAAUUUCUUACACAGAAACCAGCACAGUACUUUCCUGAUUAUGUGCUUUUAUUGCUAUUCUCUAUUUCCUCCUUUCCCAAACAAUGGGGAGGCAAAGAGGAAUCCCUCACAGCUUUUCCAAUUUCUGGUAGGCAUGAUGAUAGACAGGGAAAUAUUAUCAAUAAUAAAUGGAAUGUUUUGAAUUCAGAACAUCAAGACAGCUAUGGCAAUGCAUCUAAAAACAUUCAUGAAAGAGGACUUCCAGAACUGCUUCAAAAAGUAGCAAAAAUGAUGGGAUAAGUAAGUGUGUUUGAAGUGAGGAAGAAUAUUUCCAGAGGGAUUAAUGGCAAUGUGUCUUUUACUGUAAUAAUUUUUUUAAUUAAGGGAAAGAUGCCGUUGAGACUUUCUUGUCCACAAUUGGCCACUAUGCUCAUUCUGUCCCUGCUGUCACCUGCAAUUUCUAACCAUCAGCGAGGGCAGUGGGGCCAGUCAUGUGUAGCAAAGGGAAAUGGGAGCUGAAGCUGAUUGAAAAAUGAUUACAAGAACUUAAGAGGGUAGACGCCCUACUGAGGUCCUGAGUCACACAGAACACGCUGAAUCACCCUGCUGCAGACAGGCAGGUCUGUGCAUGCCCUACCGAGGUCCCGAGUCCUGCGGAAGAUGACGAAUCACCCUGCUGCAGACAGGCAGCCACCUGAUUCCACACUACAAAGAUGCAGAAGACACCAGACCACCAGACCAAGGUACUGAGUCCCACUGCUCCUGGUCCAGAGGAAGGGGCUUCCCGGUCACCAUCCCUCCCGCUGCUCCUAGCCCAGAGGAAAGGGCUUUUGGGCCACCUUCUGUCCCACUGCUCCUGGCCCAGAGGAAGGGGCUUCCAGGCCACCAUGCCUCCCACCACUCCUGGCCCAGAGGGAGGGGCUUCUGAGCCACCAUCCCACUGCUCCU